rnacentral:rRNA from 1 species
GACGAACGCUGGCGGCGUGCUUAACACAUGCAAGUCGAACGGAAAGGCCCUGCUUUUGUGGGGUGCUCGAGUGGCGAACGGGUGAGUAACACGUGAGUAACCUGCCCUUGACUCUGGGAUAACUUCAGGAAACUGGGGCUAACACCGGAUAGGAGCUCCUGCUGCAUGGUGGGGGUUGGAAAGUUUCGGCGGUUGGGGAUGGACUCGCGGCUUAUCAGCUUGUUGGUGGGGUAGUGGCUUACCAAGGCUUUGACGGGUAGCCGGCCUGAGAGGGUGACCGGCCACAUUGGGACUGAGAUACGGCCCAGACUCCUACGGGAGGCAGCAGUGGGGAAUAUUGCACAAUGGGCGGAAGCCUGAUGCAGCAACGCCGCGUGCGGGAUGACGGCCUUCGGGUUGUAAACCGCUUUCGCCUGUGACGAAGCGUGAGUGACGGUAAUGGGUAAAGAAGCACCGGCUAACUACGUG